AAAUGAAAGAGAAAAUUGAAAACACGAGCAGGAACACAAAAUGAUCAUAAAGGACCAAACAGAUUUGACACCAAAUACAACAUCUCAGAAUGAAAAUACAGUUGUUAAAAUUUAAAAAGUCAAAAAUGGCUUAAACAUCAGAUUAGGCACGUCUGCAAAAGAAUUAGUGAAUUGGGAGAAGAGCUGAAGGAAUUAUCCAUCGCAGACAGAGCUCAGAGAGCGACAGAGGUGGAGAAGAAGUGGGAUUCCUCUCCCGCCGCCACCUGGAGACGAGCCAGGAGCUGUCCCUCUAGACAAGGCGGAACGGACAGAAGAAUAGACACAAGGCUGGACGAGGAUGAGUCAGCGAUCAAGGGAUGCUUAGAAACAGCUCUGCCGACUUCUGCCUAUGCAAAACACCACCACAGAGAAGUUCCAUUAGAGAAUCAUUUCUUUGGAGGUAGCCCUCGAGCAAGGGAGAAAAGCGAGCUGCUGGCUUUGAGGAUGGGAGAAGGAGCCAAGAGCCAAGAAGGUGGGAGCGCUCUGGAGGCUGGAAAAGGCCAGGACACGGCUGCUCCCCUGGAGCCUUGGGAGGAGCGCGGCUCUGCGGACCCCUGGAUUCAGCCCAGGAGACUUCCGCAGGCUGUCGGAUGACCUGCUUGUUUGUUUGAAGCCAGUGGGUUUGUGACAGUCCGUUGCAGCCGCCACAGGAAACUCCUGUAACGAUGGAGCUGGGAAAGCGGCUCUUCUCCCGACCCUGCCCCGUGUGUGCGCCCGGGUGCAGAGUCAGAGCAUCCGCUUAGCAGCCGCAGCCUUCCUACCGUGUGACUCCAGGCAAGUCCCUCAUGUCUCUGCCUCUCCAUCGCCGCAUCUGUAAACCGGGGUGAUGGUUACCCCCACAUUGCACCCUCCAUGCGGGAGGCAGGUGUCCACCCCAGAGAACUCCUUUUGGGUCCACCUGAGACCCAGUUCCCUGGGCUCCCUGGAGAGAGACUUCCCCAGGAUCCUGGACCCCAUUCCCGCCCUCAGUGCUGAUGCCUGGAGCAUCGCGUCAGGCC
rnacentral:lncRNA from 1 species